rnacentral:rRNA from 1 species
UUCGUGUGAACAGUGGUUGAUCACGAGUUAGUCGGUCCUAAGUUCAAGGCGAAAGCCGAAAAUUUUCAAGUAAAAAAUAGUAGAAAAAUAUAAUAUUUGGAAAUCUUAAACACUUGAAUAAUUUUGAACGAAAGGGAAUACGGUUCCAAUUCCGUAACCUGUUGAGUAUCCGUUUGUUAUUAAAUAUGGGCCUCGUGCUCAUCCUGGUAACAGGAACGACCAUAAAGAAGCCGUCGAGAGGUAUCGGAAGAGUUUUCUUUUCUGUUUUAUAGCCGUACUACCAUGGAAGUCUUUCGCAGAGAGAUAUGGUAGAUGGGCUAGAAGAGCAUGACAUAUACUGUUGUGUCGAUAUUUUCUCCUCGGACCUUGAAAAUUUAUGGUGGGGAUACGCAAACUUCUCAACAGGCCGUACCAAUAUCCGCAGCUGGUCUCCAAGGUGAAGAGUCUCUAGUCGAUAGAAUA